rnacentral:tRNA from 2 species
GCCCUCGUGGUGAAAUUGGAUAUCACGACAGGCUUCGAACCUGUUAUUCCCCGUUCGAGUCGGGGCGAGGGCA